rnacentral:ncRNA from 18 species
UGAAGAGUAAAAAUGCGUUCGUUAAGUGUUGACUGAACGGGGAGUUGUCAGUCAAACGAAAAGCUUCGGCUUGCGGUUCGUAUUUUGCAUCCCGCUUCA